AGAUGAUGUCUCCCUUCUUCGGUCUUGAGCUGCCAAACUGAAACAAGCCGCCACUACAGCUGAAUCAACAAACAUCAGCUGGUGGAUCACUGCUGUUCCUAAUGACAACAUCAAACUGCUGCCUGGUCAGGUGCUGGAAAUGAUUUGGCACAUCAUCCAAAGACUUCACAGAACAUCAUGAACAUGGUGAUACAGACUGCAGCGACUUGUGUCCUCCCUCUCCUGCCGGCAUCCUCUUCCAGAAACCUGCACCUCCUCCUCAAUCACCAACAGCUACUGGAAGAAAAAUGCAGCACAAGGCCUCCACCUCAAGUGUUUUUGUCUUCCGCGUGCAGUCUCUGCCAAAAACCUGCAC